UAAAUAAUAGAUAUAUAAAAAAAUCUACAUAUUACACUCGUGGAGCAGAAAGUACUGCGAAGUGCCCAAGAUGUAUAUUUACAUUGUAACAAAAAAUCAAAAUAAUCUAAAUACAUUACCACAACGCUUGCUCAUAUCACUAAAGAAAAGUAUAUAAAAUAAAGUUUCACAUAAAGCCAGAGGUAAUAAACAUUUUAUUAAAACAGCAAAUUGUUUGCUUUAUAUGGAUUAUAUUAUAUGUUGUUUUGCUGGUAAUCAAAAUUUAUUUGAAUUUUAAUAGACUUUAUUACAUCUCAACCAACCCUGUAACAGACGAUUGACAAGGGUAUCUUAAUAACGAGACCCCUUUGGCAACUAUUGAGUAUGAAACCUUUAUGAUCUUCAAAAGGUACUUUGUUUAUUUUACAUAUAAAAUGUCCUGAGAGUA
rnacentral:misc_RNA from 1 species